UACGUAGGGUGCGAGCGUUGUCCGGAAUUAUUGGGCGUAAAGAGCUCGUAGGCGGUGUGUCGCGUCGGCCGUGAAAACCUGGGGCUCAACUCUGGGCGUGCGGUCGAUACGGGCAUCACUUGAGUUCGGCAGGGGAGACUGGAAUUCCUGGUGUAGCGGUGAAAUGCGCAGAUAUCAGGAGGAACACCGAUGGCGAAGGCAGGUCUCUGGGCCACUACUGACGCUGAGAAGCGAAAGCGUGGGGAGCAAACAGG
rnacentral:rRNA from 1 species